CAGCCGCCACGGGAAUACGUAGGGUGCAAGCGUUAAUCGGAAUUACUGGGCGUAAAGCGUGCGCAGGCGGUUAUAUAAGACAGAUGUGAAAUCCCCGGGCUCAACCUGGGAACUGCAUUUGUGACUGUAUAGCUAGAGUACGGCAGAGGGGGAUGGAAUUUCGCGUGUAGCAGUGAAAUGCGUAGAUAUGCGGAGGAACACCGAUGGCGAAGGCAAUCCCCUGGGCCUGUACUGACGCUCAUGCACGAAAGCGUGGGGAGCAAACAGGAUUAGAUACCCGAGUAGUCCCUGUCUCUUAUAC
rnacentral:rRNA from 1 species